rnacentral:rRNA from 1 species
GAUGAACGCUGACAGAAUGCUUAACACAUGCAAGUCAACUUGAAUUUGGGUUUUUAACUUAGGUUUGGGUGGCGGACGGGUGAGUAACGCGUAAAGAACUUACCUCACAGUUAGGGACAACAUUUGGAAACGAAUGCUAAUACCUAAUAUUAUGAUAAUAGGGCAUCCUAUAAUUAUGAAAGCUAUAAGCGCUGUGAGAGAGCUUUGCGUCCCAUUAGCUAGUUGGAGAGGUAACGGCUCACCAAGGCGAUGAUGGGUAGCCGGCCUGAGAGGGUGAUCGGCCACAAGGGGACUGAGACACGGCCCUUACUCCUACGGGAGGCAGCAGUGGGGAAUAUUGGACAAUGGACCAAGAGUCUGAUCCAGCAAUUCUGUGUGCACGAUGAAGUUUUUCGGAAUGUAAAGUGCUUUCAGUUGGGAAGAAAGAAAUGACGGUACCAACAGAAGAAGUGACGGCUAAAUACGUGCCAGCCGCCGCAGUAAAAC